AACCACUGACUGAUCACCUGAGGAAAGGACUGAGUCAGCCGUGGGAGCACAGGUGAAAGUAAUUCUCCUGUGUGAUCUCCCAGACCCCAUUUAAGGGCUGACUGGCACUGGGGAAGGUUCUCUUUCUGGAGAUCCCUCCCCUGUGGAGUCUUUCCUGCAAUCCGAGAUCUUCAGAUACAGGCUAACUCGAUUCUUCUUCCUUCUGGCCAGAACACAUGCCACUGAAGGAACGAUUUAUUUCCUGAAACCAUGCUGCUUUCAGCAGUUUCAAAUAGCUUUAAAUUAUGUGAAGUAAAACAAAAAUCUUCAAAUCUACAAGAAGUUCUCCAUCAGCUUUGUGUUUUUCUCUAAGGAAAUUAUUGCUUUUUAAUCUGCCAUUCAUCUCAUCCACAGAGGAACAAAGUGGAUUUUCAGGUCAGAUACCUCUCUUACAAAUCAAUAAGACGUUGUUGAAAAGUUGGUAUUUGAAAGGUACGGUACAAAUGAUACGUAUGUGACUCCUGUGUAAAUGAUGUACUGAAGUCUGUGUAAUAUUGAGAGAUGUUUGAACCCAGGUGGGUUCUUGGCUGGCUGGACCCUACAAGUGAAACAGAUGAAGUCAUAGAGAUUGCUAGUUUUUGUCAAGGAGGUGUGUAAGAUGUUUUUGUUUCAGGCGCCUUAUUCCUUAAGGUAACGUAUAUCAGUGCACAUGAAGAAACUGGGUCAUACUCUAUUAGGUUUUGCAGAAAUAUAGUAAGCAAAAAGUGGAUGUUCUAAUAGGCUAUAGAGAUUGAACUGUAAGGCUGGGAGUACUUGGGAUGCAUGAACAAGACUCGGCUGUAUUGUGGGAAUUAGCUUUGUAUCAUGAUAAUGCAGAUGCUUUUUUGGAAUUGAUCUGAAAUAUAAAUAAUUGAUUUUUCAAAAGUAAAGCUGCUAAAAAUGAAAGGAAGAAGUCUCCUGUUGAAACUUGACAAGGAAUAAAAUAUUUUAAUUGAGCUCCUAAACUGGUAUUUGAGUAAUGGCAGUUAUCACAAAUGGAUCACUUCAAAGACAUACUCUAGGCUGGCCAAGAAGGCAUCGGGCCACUCUGUGGCUUUUUUUCCCCAUGCAGUAUAAGCUUCAAAAACUGUCUAUUGCCAGAUUUAACUUUUAUGUGGACUGAGAUAAUGGGAGCUGGCUACUAAUAGUGAAGCACUAAAUGUCCUUCAUUUCUCCUGAUCAUUUGUACUUGUUAGGCUGUAGCCAGCUUGUGAGGUGUUUUGGCUGUGGAGAUAUUUCUACACUGUGACGUUUGUUUCCAUCCUGAUUGAAAAUUAUACUAAUUAAAGCUUGUUCCCUGGUUUUCUGCUCUUCAUAAGUGCAGUGAUUCUGGAGUAGAUUAAUGACAUAUAUUUUGAAAAAUGCUGAUUAUCAAGUCUGAUUUUUCUUUUUGUACCAAUGUGUUGCUUCUGACAACAUCUUCUGAUCGGAACAAGACUCUGUACAAAAAUCUUUAAGCAGCUGCAUUUUUAUGAAUAUAUUAAUUUCAUUACUUAUUCUUCCUCUGAUGAAGACCUGAAACCAGUCUUCCAUCUGAAAUGUAAAACUUACAACUGUUUACAUGUAUAUGAAUAUAUAUUUAUAUGCACAUAUGCACAUAUACCUAUAUAGCUAUGCUUCUCCAUGCAAAUUGAAGACAAACCUUGACUUUUUCCACAUUUUAUUUUUUUCUUUUAAUGUCUCGGGCAGUUCGUUAUACAGGAAAUAUGCCAUGAUUCAUCCAUUCUAAUAGAUUCCACCCCCAACUAGGGCUGAAUUUUCCAUCUUUUGAAGAAGAAUUUCAUGCCGUUAACGAUGUACAUUCAGACUAGGUAACCUUACUUCCUGAGUUGCCUUUCCUUUCUUGGCAGUACUAAGUGGCAAAGCAAAGAGCUGCAGAACAAAACAUUUUCUCGACUUGGAGGCUCCUAGCAAAUGUUUCAUUCCUCAAACUGAGCUCUUUCCUGCUUAAAACUUUCGUAACUUGUUUGGAACUUAAUGAGCCCCACAUGUCUUGGCUCCCAGCGCCAGCCAGACUGCAACAGCAGAACAAGUCUCCUGCUCUGCACAGAGUCAUGAAAAAUGUCAGUCUUGCCCAGUACUUUUUUGAAAUCUUUUUCUUUUUUUUUGUUUACACUCUGAGGACUUUAUUUGCUGGUCAGAUGACCCCCUAAAUUCAAAACUGAAUUUAUGACACACUGCAAAUCUCCUGCGUGGUUAUGAAGACAGCAGACAAAAUAGCACUGUAGUGCUCCGAUCUCUCUUGGAUUCUCAUGAAAUAUGAUGCCAAGGCUGAAGUUUUAGGCCUGAUAAAAACUAUCCGCAGGAACUUCUUGAUUGUUCCAGAGAAUCUACUUUCCUUUUCACCAGCACGAUUACAAAGGAUAAAGUCACAAAUGUGGCACCCAUUGUGAAUGGCAGAGAUUUGGCGGAAGGUGGUUCCUGACCAGAGAGGUUUACAAUAAUGUAUAGAAACAGACAAUAAUCUAUUUUGAAGUUUGUAUGUGUACAUGUCUAUAUAUGCACAUUUAUAAACUUCUUUGAAGCCAUUUCAGAAACCAUCUCAACAGUAGAGAAACAGCAAAAGCGACUCAUUUGAUAAAGCAAAAGGUAUCUAAGAUAUCUAGAUGAAAUGCCAUGGUAAAAGAAGAAGAAAAACAAUCCCUGAAAUCUCAAAAAGAGUACUGUUAUGUAGAGUUUUCAUACGUAUUUUCCAUGCUGAGGUAGAAAUUCAUAUCUAGCUAUGUAGGUAUUCUCUCUUUCUUCUACAGAAGUUGCUCUUAGCAUUUGUAUGCCAUAACAAUGUUAUAAGCUACACGAAGCUCUGUGAUUCAAUAAAGUAAUUUAGAAAAAGCA